rnacentral:snoRNA from 1 species
GCAGAGCUAACAUCCCAAUCAAAGCAUAUGUUAGACUGCUGAUCCCAGUGAUGUCGGGGGU